rnacentral:lncRNA from 1 species
CGGACUGCAGAGAAAAGGGCAAGAACGGAAGAAAGAGAGAGAGAGAGAGAAAUUGAAAGAAAGGGAAAUAAAGAGUAAAAGAAGCGGCAAAAACAAAAACAGAAAACAAUAUGGAGAGAGAGCAUGUGGAUUAAAUGGAAACCUGAGGGGAAUUAUAUGAUGCUAUUAUAGUUUUCAAUCUGAAUCAUAACAAGCUUUCCAUUUUUGUUUCUGUUUGUUGCUGCUCCUCUUCCGAUUUUCCUUCUUUUUUUUUCUCUUUUACUCUGUGAUUUCUCUGUUUAUGUGUGUUCUGCAGUGUUGCUUGCUGCCAAUUGCUUCUUCCCGUCGGGAACCUUGUGAUGAUUUA